UGAACCUAAUGAUCGGCAGCAGCAGCAGCUCUAGCCUGCUCCAGGAUCCUCACCAGCGGCUUGCAGCCGCACCGUUGUGCUUCGUCGAGCGGGGUGUUGCCCCACCUGUCUGCGGCCACAAGGUCAGCACCAAACUCCACCAGCAUCCCAGCGACGAGGUGCAGGCCCUCGCUGGCGGCUACGUGGAGCGGCGUCCUCCGGUCGUAGUUCCUGCAGUUGGGGUCGAUGCCGAACCUGAGCAGCCUCCUCAGCAGGUCGAUCUUGCCCUGGGCGACCACCCUGCACAGGUAGCCUCCUGCGUCCUCCAGGUUCAGCGCCGCGCCGUGCGCCACCAGCAGCGAGAUGAUCCUCUCGUGCCCUGAUUUCACCGCUUGCAGCAGCGGCGACUUCCCAGACUUAUCUGCAUUUUCAGAUGUGUGUGUUAGUUGCUUCAUACUACUGUUUUGAACUGCUUCUGUAAAUAGAAAAAGAAAAAGGAAACCGCACCUAUGCUGUUGACGUUUGCUCCUCGCUGGAUAAGGAACCUGACGAUAUCUUCGUAUCCUCUUGAUGCAGCCACAUGCUGCAAGGAAAAGAUGUGGGAAAAGUUGAAGAGUUGUUACUGUGCAAAUAGAAUCUUGACUGAUAAUUUUUGCAGUUAACUUUUAGUAGUACUAGUUAGCAUGUGGAACUCCUGUAGUAAUUUGACUGAUGAUUGAUCUGCAAAGGUUCACGUACCAAGGAGGUCCUCCCGUCGUAAUCCGGUUUACUCGGAUCUGCUCCUGCACCGAUCAAGCCUUUCAACCGAAACAAAUCUCCAUGGUAGGCAGCAUUGUUGACUCCAAGGACCAUGUCAGCUUCUUGCUUUGCUAUAAGGAUGUACCUUGAGUAGGUUGCUCAGUAUCUGACGGCUAUCCUUGAGAUCACGGCGACGUCGCCGACUAUGUCGUAGGGCAGCAGCUCUGAGACGAUCUCUUCUGAUCCGCCUUCUCCGGCGGCGGCGAACUCUUCAUGUAAGAUCACAUGGGACAUGAUAGGUGAAGGUCAGUAAUACAGCAGAGUUGUGUUUUCUCUUGGUUUAUGGAGAAAAAUUCAGUGAAAAGUAGUACCAGACAUCCAUGUGCCACAAUGUAUAUCUGAUCCACUACAGUGCCUUGCUCCAAAAUAACUUCCCCGGGGAGGAAGAAUUCUUCCUGUAUUUUAACCACCUGAAACCAUCAACUGAAGAGUUAGAUGAAUUGUCCACCUGAGAUAAACUGCAGUGAGAUAAGCAUGAGUCUACUCAAGUUCUUACAAUCUGGCUCAGGAAGUCUUCUGAGCAUCCUCUGAACAGGUGCACUUUUGAGACCGUUUCCAGGUACAGUGUCUGGGAGAAGUUUAAAACAAAAUGCUCAAACUGAUUAAAGUUGCUCCAAAAAGAA